rnacentral:rRNA from 1 species
UACGGAGGGUGCAAGCGUUUAUCCGGAUUCACUGGGUUUAAAGGGUGCGUAGGCGGGCAGGUAAGUCAGUGGUGAAAUCUCCGGGCUCAACCCGGAAACUGCCAUUGAUACUAUCUGUCUUGAAUAUCGUGGAGGUAAGCGGAAUAUGUCAUGUAGCGGUGAAAUGCUUAGAUAUGACAUAGAACACCAAUUGCGAAGGCAGCUUACUACCCGAAUAUUGACACUGAAGCACGAAAGCGUGGGGAUCAAACAGG